rnacentral:rRNA from 1 species
AGAGUUUGAUCCUGGCUCAGGAUGAACGCUGGCGGUAUGCUUAACACAUGCAAGUCGAACGGGGGUAGAAAUACCCUAGUGGCGGACGGGUGAGUAACGCGUGAGAAUCUACCAACAGGAUGGGGAUAACAGAGGGAAACCGCUGCUAAUACCCAAUGUGCCGAGAGGUGAAAGAUUAAUUACCUGUUGAGGAGCUCGCGUCCGAUUAGCUAGUUGGUGGGGUAAGAGCCUACCAAGGCAUCGAUCGGUAGCUGGUCUGAGAGGACGAUCAGCCACACUGGGACUGAGACACGGCCCAGACUCCUACGGGAGGCAGCAGUGGGGAAUUUUCCGCAAUGGGCGAAAGCCUGACGGAGCAAUACCGCGUGAGGGAGGAAGGCUCUUGGGUUGUAAACCUCUUUUGUCAGGGAAGAACACAAUGACGGUACCUGAAGAAUCAGCAUCGGCUAACUCCGUGCCAGCAGCCGCGGUAAUACGGGGGAUGCAAGCGUUAUCCGGAAUUAUUGGGCGUAAAGCGUCCGCAGGUGGCUAAUCAAGUCUGCUGUCAAAGGUUGGGGCUUAACCCCAAAAAGGCAGUGGAAACUGAGAAGCUAGAGUGCAGUAGGGGUAGAGGGAAUUCCCGGUGUAGCGGUGAAAUGCGUAGAGAUCGGGAAGAACAUCGGUGGCGAAAGCGCUCUACUGGACUGCAACUGACACUCAGGGACGAAAGCUAGGGGAGCGAAUGGGAUUAGAUACCCCCGUAGUCC